UAAAGGAAGUUUUCGGAUGGAAUUUGAAAUGAGUGAGCGGCGGACGGGUGAGUAACGCGUGGGUAACCUGCCUCAUACAGGGGGAUAACAGUUAGAAAUGACUGCUAAUACCGCAUAAGCACACAGUACCGCAUGGUACAGUGUGAAAAACUCCGGUGGUAUGAGAUGGACCCGCGUCUGAUUAGCUUGUUGGCGGGGUAACGGCCCACCAAGGCGACGAUCAGUAGCCGACCUGAGAGGGUGACCGGCCACAUUGGGACUGAGACACGGCCCAAACUCCUACGGGAGGCAGCAGUGGGGAAUAUUGCACAAUGGGGGAAACCCUGAUGCAGCAACGCCGCGUGAGUGAAGAAGUAUUUCGGUAUGUAAAGCUCUAUCAGCAGGGAAGAAAGUGACGGUACCUGACUAAGAAGCCCCGGCUAACUACGUGCCAGCAGCCGCGGUAAUACGUAGGGGGCAAGCGUUAUCCGGAUUUACUGGGUGUAAAGGGAGCGUAGACGGCACAGCAAGUCUGAAGUGGAAUCCCCGGGCUCAACACGGGAACUGCUUUGGAAACUGCUGGGCUGGAGUGCUGGAGAGGCAAGCGGAAUUCCUAGUGUAGCGGUGAAAUGCGUAGAUAUUAGGAGGAACA
rnacentral:rRNA from 1 species